rnacentral:rRNA from 1 species
UACAGAGGGUGCAAGCGUUGUUCGGAAUUAUUGGGCGUAAAGGGCGCGUAGGCGGUGCGGUAAGUCUGUAGUGAAAUCUAUGGGCUCAACCCAUAGUCUGCAUCGGAAACUGUCGGGCUGGAGUAUGGGUGAGGUGAGUGGAAUUUCCGGUGUAGCGGUGAAAUGCGUAGAUAUCGGAAGGAACACCUGUGGCGAAAGCGGCUCACUGGACCAUUACUGACGCUGAUGCACGAAAGCUAGGGGAGCAAACAGG